ACUCCUACGGGAGGCAGCAGUGGGGAAUAUUGCACAAUGGGCGCAAGCCUGAUGCAGCCAUGCCGCGUGUGUGAAGAAGGCCUUCGGGUUGUAAAGCACUUUCAGUUGUGAGGAAAGGUUGAGUCGCUAAUAUCGGCUAGCUGUUGACGUUAGCAACAGAAGAAGCACCGGCUAACUCCGUGCCAGCAGCCGCGGUAAUACGGAGGGUGCGAGCGUUAAUCGGAAUUACUGGGCGUAAAGCGCAUGCAGGCGGCCUUGUUAAGUCAGAUGUGAAAGCCCGGGGCUUAACCUCGGAAUUGCAUUUGAAACUGGACAGGCGUAGAGUCUGUAGAGGGGGUAGAAUU
rnacentral:rRNA from 1 species